rnacentral:rRNA from 1 species
UUAAUUCAUACAUCUUUUAUAAUUUCUGUUGUUUUAUUUAUUUUUAUUUGAUGUUAAGAUUAAGGGGGAUUAGCUCCUUGUUUUAUACUUAUAAUUAGUUCAAUUUAAUUUUGUGGGUUUUAUGGUGAUUUUCUAUUUGAUUAUGUUAAAAUUUUAUUUACUCUUUUUGUUAUUUUUUAUUAUUUAAGUUAUUUAUUGAAAUGUUUUCUUUAUUUUAGUUUGUAUUGUGAUUAUUGUGUAAUUAGUAAAUUUUAUUUGUUGUUUUGUAAAGGGUGUUAAUUAUUUUUGAGGAAUUAGGCAAAGUUUAUGUCCGCCUGUUUAACAAAAACAUCUCUUCUUGUUAGUUUUUGAAGUAUGGCCUGCCCACUGACGUUGAAGGGCCGCGGUAUUUUGACCGUGCAAAGGUAGCAUAAUCAUUAGUUCUUUAAUUGUGAUCUGGUAUGAAUGGCUUGACGAGACAUUAGCUGUCUUAGAGGUAUAGUUUAUUGAAUUUKGUUUUUGAGUUAAAAUUCUUAAAUGUUUUUAUGGGACGAGAAGACCCUAUAGAGUUUAACAGUUUUCUUACUUGUGUAUGUUUGUUUAUUGAGUGAGAGUAUUUGUUUUGUUCGGGUGAUCCGACAAUCUACCACCUAUUACUCUUUGUGU